CAAUAGCGUAUACUAACGUUGUUGCAGUUAAAAAGCUCGUAGUUGGAUUUCUGUGGGGACACGCGGCCGGCCAUCAGUGGUUGUAGCUAGUGUUGUUUUCUGCAUCUUGUCGCAAUUGCCACUGCCAUUCACUUGGUGGUGUGCAGGACCGACUCAUUUACUUUGAGAAAAUUAGAGUGUUCAAAGCAGGCUAUCGCCUCUGAAUAUGUUAGCAUGGAAUAAUGAUAUAGGACUUUGGUUCUAUUUUGUUGGUUGUUCGAGGACCGAAGUAAUGAUUGAUAGGGACAGUUGGGGGCAUUAGUAUUUAAUUGUCAGAGGUGAAAUUCUUGGAUUUAUGAAAGACUAACUACUGCGAAAGCAUUUGCCAAGGAUGUUUUCAUUAAUCAAGAACGAAAGUUAGGGGAUCGAAGACGAUUAGAUACCG
rnacentral:rRNA from 1 species